ACGGUGUUGAUAGUUGGUGUGAUGUGUUACAGGUCAGGGUAUUGAUAUUUGGUGUGAUGUAUUACAGGUCAGGGUAUUGAUAUCUGGUGUGAUGUAUUACAAGUCAGGGUAUUGAUAUCUGGUGUGAUGUAUUACAAGUCAGGGUAUUGAUAUCUGGUGUGAUGUAUUACAAGUCAGGGUAUUGAUAUCUGGUGUGAUGUAUUACAGGUCAGGGUAUUGAUAUCUGGUGUGAUGUAUUACAAGUCAGGGUAUUGAUAUCUGGUGUGAUGUAUUACAGGUCAGGGUAUUGAUAUCU